UACGUAGGGGGCGAGCGUUGUCCGGAAUGACUGGGCGUAAAGGGCGCGUAGGCGGUCUGCUAAGUUAGGAGUGAAAGUCCACGUUUCAAGCGUGGAACUGCUUUUAAUACUGACGGACUGGAGUGCAGAAGAGGUAAGCGGAAUUCCCAGUGUAGCGGUGAAAUGCGUAGAGAUUGGGAAGAACACCAGUGGCGAAGGCGGCUUACUGGGCUGUAACUGACGCUGAGGCGCGAAAGCGUGGGGAGCGAAC
rnacentral:rRNA from 1 species